GUCGCCAUAGUUUAGUGGUUAGAAUUCCUGCCUGUCAAAGGUCGUGGAACGCAGGGGGCCGGGGUUCGAUUCCCCGUGGUGGCG
rnacentral:tRNA from 1 species